UACGUAGGGUGCAAGCGUUAAUCGGAAUUACUGGGCGUAAAGCGUGCGCAGGCGGUUCUAUAAGACAGAUGUGAAAUCCCCGGGCUCAACCUGGGAACUGCAUUUGUGACUGUAGAGCUGGAGUGCGGCAGAGGGGGAUGGAAUUCCGCGUGUAGCAGUGAAAUGCGUAGAUAUGCGGAGGAACACCGAUGGCGAAGGCAGCCCCCUGGGUCAAGACUGACGCUCAUGCACGAAAGCGUGGGGAGCAAACAGG
rnacentral:rRNA from 1 species